rnacentral:rRNA from 1 species
AGAGGAAGUAAAAGUCGUAACAAGGUUUCCGUAGGUGAACCUGCGGAAGGAUCAUUACUGAGGUAUGUUCGGUUGUCACGAAAGUGCACCGGUUACCCGCCCAUAUGUCAUCUGUGCUGAACCCCGCGGCCGGAAGGUCGGAGGGAACAGGAACAUCAUUUCGGUCGAGGUGUUGUGCUCCUCAUCACGAGGGACACGACCGCGGCCGGCCGUAUUUUACACUCUUGUGAGAAUAUGAAGUCUGAGUAAAAAUGAAAAAUUUAAGCAAAACUUUCAACAACGGAUCUCUUGGCUCUGGCAACGAUGAAGAACGCAGCGAAACGCGAAAGGUAAUGCGAAUUGCAGAAUCAGUGAGUCAUCGAAUCUUUGAACGCACAUUGCGCCUCUCGGUAUUCCGGGAGGCACGCCUGUUCGAGCGCCAUUACACACUCCAAGCGAAGCUUGAUGUUGGACGAUGCGGUCCCUUUUUUGGGGGAUUGCACGUCUGGAACGCGUGGGCGCCUGCCGCCGGACCACGAGCGUAGCAAGACAUUCGUCAAUUUCGUUCAGUGAGUUCCGACGGGGGGCGGCCUUAUUAUUUUCUGUCUCAGAAAGUUUGGCCUCGGAUCAGGCGGGGAUACCCGCUGAACUUAAGCAUAUCA